rnacentral:lncRNA from 1 species
ACUCUGACUGACCAAUCAGUUCCCUCGUACAUUUGAACAGAGGGUUGUUUAUUUUCGGAUUGUGGCGUUCUUCUGGACAAACCGGUUCACAUGCGAAUUUACCGUCUGACAUACACUUACAUAUAUCUUCACAAUUUACUUCAUACAAUUGACCAACUUGGUAUGUUUUGCCUUGGAAAAUACAACCAGCUGUUGAGAAAAUAUAAACGUCAAUGUUAUUAACUUUUCCUCCACCUACAACAACCAUUUGUUGUCUUGUGCAUUUGUUUGACAUCAAUACAGUAGUUAUCUUAUAAAAGACAUGAGUUUUUCCAUGCAAAAAUGAAUUAAAGAAAACGAGAAACGAAUUAAAUUGUCCAAACAGAACAUCAGCUGAAGAUCCUUAAUCUACAGACCGCAAAAGAAUGAAGGUACAAGUUCAUGUUAGCGGGAUUUGAAAUCAGAACGUAGGGAGUCGGAGCAAACAGCAUCGGACGUUCAAAUGACUCAACUACUUCGUCUUUUACUCCUACUGUGGAAUAUUUUUUCUCUUGCGUCUAAGGACUUAUAACACCGGUUACCCGAUUUCCAUGGCGUAUAAGUAACUCUGGUCACAAAAUUAUCCUUGAACGAGACGUCGGUCUGUUGUAGGAUU